UAACCUCUCACCCAGGCUUUAUGCCUCAUAUGAAGAGUGGGGUAUUGGAUACAUAUUUCCGGACCCAGAAAGUGAACUGGAAACGCCAGCCAAAGCCCGCCGGGAGAAACAGACGUCUGAGCAUAGAGUAAUAUCGGCUUCCUGUGUUGUCCAGGCCAUCAGAGCUAAUUACCCAGCACAAGAUGGGCAGUACCGUGGCUACCAGGAGACAGUAGAUGCUCAAGAUAAGCUGUGACUAUUUUGACUCUAGCAAACGCACCCUACACGUUUCAUUUUUGUAAAAAGUUCAUAUUCUUUCAUGAAUAAAACUUCAAAUUC